rnacentral:tRNA from 1 species
GCAUCUGUAGCCUAGUUGGUAAAGGAAACACUCUUGUAUGUGACUCAGCGUUGCUGAGGUUGUGAGUUCAAAUCUCACCAGGCACA